CCUACGGGUGGCAGCAGUAGGGAAUAUUCGUCAAUGGGCGCAAGCCUGAACGAGCAAUGCCGCGUGAAUGAGGAAGGUCUUCGGAUCGUAAAGUUCUGUUGAAGGGGAAAAAGAGCGGAGAGAGGAAAUGGUCUCCGAUUGAUAUUACCCUUCGAGGAAGUCACGGCUAACUACGUGCCAGCAGCCGCGGUAAUACGUAGGUGGCGAGCGUUAUCCGGAAUGAUUGGGCGGAAAGGGUGCGUAGGCGGCCUGCUAAGUCUGGAGUGAAAGGUACCGGCUCAACCGGUACAGGCUCUGGAAACUGGCGGGCUAGAGCGCAGGAGAGGGCGGUGGAACUCCAUGUGUAGCGGUAAAAUGCGUAGAUAUAUGGAAGAACACCAGUGGCGAAGGCGGCCGCCUGGCCUGUUACUGACGCUGAGGCACGAAAGCGUGGGGAGCAAAUAGGAUUAGAUACCCUGGUAGUC
rnacentral:rRNA from 1 species